rnacentral:rRNA from 1 species
CCUACGGGAGGCAGUAGUGAGGAAUAUUGGUCAAUGGGCGCGAGCCUGAACCAGCCAAGUCGCGUGAGGGAAGACGGCCCUACGGGUUGUAAACCUCUUUUGCCGGGGAGCAACGGGCGCCACGUGUGGCGCCACUGAGAGUACCCUGAGAAACAGCAUCGGCUAACUCCGUGCCAGCAGCCGCGGUAAUACGGGGGAUGCGAGCGUUAUCCGGAUUAAUUGGGUUUACAGGGUGCGUAGGCGGAGCGUUAAGUCAGUGGUAAAAUUGCGGGGCUCAACCCCUUCCCGCCAUUGAAACUGGCGAUCUUGAGUGGAAGAGAGGUAAGCGGAAUGCGUGGUGUAGCGGUGAAAUGCAUAGAUAUCACGCAGAACCCCGAUUGCGAAGGCAGCAUGCCGGCUUCCGACUGACGCUGAAGCACGAAAGCGUGGGGAGCGAACAGGAUUAGAUACCCCAGUAGUC